CAGCAGCCACGGUAAUACCAGCACCUCGAGUGGUCAGGAGGUUUAUUGGGCCUAAAGCAUCCGUAGCCGGUUGCAUAAGUUUUCGGUUAAAUCUAUGCGCUUAACGUAUAGGCCGCCGAAAAUACUGUGCAGCUAGGGAGUGGGAGAGGUACACGGUACUCGAUAGGAAGGGGUAAAAUCCUUUGAUCUAUUGAUGACCACCUGUGGCGAAGGCGGUGUACCAGAACACGUUCGACGGUGAGGGAUGAAAGCUGGGGGAGCAAACCGGAUUAGGUACCCGUGUAGUCCCUGUCUCUUAUAC
rnacentral:rRNA from 1 species